AUUGAACGCUGGCGGCAUGCUUUACACAUGCAAGUCGAACGGUAACAGGCCGCAAGGUGCUGACGAGUGGCGAACGGGUGAGUAAUGCAUCGGAACGUGCCCAGUCGUGGGGGAUAACGCAGCGAAAGCUGCGCUAAUACCGCAUACGAUCUAUGGAUGAAAGCGGGGGACCGAAAGGCCUCGCGCGAUUGGAGCGGCCGAUGUCAGAUUAGGUAGUUGGUGGGGUAAAGGCCCACCAAGCCAACGAUCUGUAGCUGGUCUGAGAGGACGACCGGCCACACUGGGACUGAGACACGGCCCAGACUCCUACGGGAGGCAGCAGUGGGGAAUUUUGGACAAUGGGCGCAAGCCUGAUCCAGCAAUGCCGCGUGCAGGAAGAAGGCCUUCGGGUCGUAAACUGCUUUUGUACGGAACGAAACGGUCCGGGUUAAUACCCUGGGCUAAUGACGGUACCGUAAGAAUAAGCACCGGCUAACUACGUGCCAGCAGCCGCGGUAAAAC
rnacentral:rRNA from 1 species